UUGCACUUCUUCUUUCUCACCAUCUUAAAUGGUCUGAGUAAAAGCUCUGUGAUUAAUCUCAUCUGCUAGAACAUUUCUUCUGUGUUCUGAAACGAAAACAAUGGAGUGUCGGUAUUUCUCCGACUCAUAUCGACAUGACGAAUAUGUUUCUUUAUCUUCUGAAAUGCUCAGCGUUGCAUUAUUUGGGCUUAGCAUUAACAUUAUUUGGCUUUCGAACCAUGACUGAUUACCUGUUGAGAUACUUGGGAAGUAGUCGUGCCGGUUGCGACUAAACCGGAUUGGAGACGGGGUUUGGUUGAGUAAAGAAGGGAACGGGAGAAUGAACGGAAGAAAGCGGCGUUGAGACGGUCGAAGACGGUGUGGAG
rnacentral:lncRNA from 1 species